rnacentral:rRNA from 1 species
UACGGGGGGGGCAAGCGUUGUUCGGAAUUACUGGGCGUAAAGGGUUCGUAGGUGGCCAACUAAGUCAUACGUGAAAUCCCUCAGCUUAACUGGGGAACUGCGUCUGAUACUGGUUGGCUUGAGUGCAGGAGAGGAACGCGGAAUUCCAGGUGUAGCGGUGAAAUGCGUAGAGAUUUGGAGGAACACCAGUGGCGAAGGCGACUUUCUGGUCUGUAACUGACACUGAGGCGCGAAAGCGUGGGGAGCAAACAGG